CCCUCCACUUACACUAGAUUCCAUCCCCAAUGACUUUUUCAAGAAUUUAACUCCAGAAGUUAAACAUUAUUUCCUGCAUUAUGAAUCUCUACACCACCCCCAAGCAGGAUAAUUCAUUUUAGGUAGAAAUAUGUGGUAAUAGUUCUCAUUUAAAAUUCUGUACAUUUCCAGCUACUGCCUCAUUUACUCCUCUCUUUAUAGAAGAAAGCAUCGUUUGUCUUUAUUCAGCAUCUCCACUUUUUCUCUUGCAUUCUUUUGCUGUUGUUUUGUUUUUCUGGGAAAGUUCUUUAAUGUUUUUAAUUUGUUAUAAAAUAUUUCAGACUUUAAAAAUAAAAAGUAAAUAUAUUGUGUCAUAUAAUUUGUCUUCUCCUCUUAAAGCCGGAAGCUUCAUUUCUAAUGAUGAAUGUCCUUCAGAAUAUUAUCAUUGCAGACUGAAGUGCAAUGCUGAUGAACAUGCAAUUACAUACUGUGCUGACUUCAGCAUCUGCUGCAAACUGAAGAUCAUUGAAAUUGACGGACAAAAGAAGUGGUGAAAAUGCUAACUCCAUCUUCUUCAGACUCCAGGAGCAAAAACAUGUCUUAAACUCUCUUAUCUACGAAUAAUUAACAUGAUGGAUGAAAAUUAUUAUAAUUGCAUGUUUAGAUGGUCAGGUGAAAAUGAAUAUAAAUUUUAUAAAUGCUUA
rnacentral:lncRNA from 1 species